rnacentral:other from 18 species
AAAACCCUGUGGUGUUCGUGUGACCCGGUGAAAGGUUGAGCCAACACCAAAAAUAAGGGAGCCUGGGCUUUGGCAGUGGAUUGUAGGCCGCCUCGUCGCGGAAACAUGAAGCUGCCAAGAGGGCACCCACUUUGUGAGGACGGGUUCAAAACCUACCGGUAGGCACGGCACUAUGGGGUUUUU